rnacentral:rRNA from 1 species
GACGAACGCUGGCGGCGUGCUUAACACAUGCAAGUCGAACGGAAAGGCCCUGCUUUUGUGUGGUGCUCGAGUGGCGAACGGGUGAGUAACACGUGAGUAACCUGCCCUUGACUUUGGGAUAACUUCAGGAAACUGGGGCUAAUACCGGAUAGGAGCUCCUGCUGCAUGUUGGGGGUUGGAAAGGUUCGGCGGUCGGGGAUGGACUCGCGGCUUAUCAGCUUGUUGGUGGGGUAGUGGCUUACCAAGGCUUUGACGGGUAGCCGGCCUGAGAGGGUGACCGGCCACAUUGGGACUGAGAUACGGCCCAGACUCCUACGGGAGGCAGCAGUGGGGAAUAUUGCACAAUGGGCGGAAGCCUGAUGCAGCAACGCCGCGUGCGGGAUGACGGCCUUCGGGUUGUAAACCGCUUUCGCCUGUGACGAAGCGUGAGUGACGGUAAUGGGUAAAGAAGCACCGGCUAACUACGUG